CUACGGGUCGCUCCAGUGGGGAAUAUUGCACAAUGGGCGCAAGCCUGAUGCAGCCAUGCCGCGUGUAUGAAGAAGGCCUUCGGGUUGUAAAGUACUUUCAGCGGGGAGGAAGGGAGUAAAGUUAAUACCUUUGCUCAUUGACGUUACCCGCAGAAGAAGCACCGGCUAACUCCGUGCCAGCAGCCGCGGUAAUACGGAGGGUGCAAGCGUUAAUCGGAAUUACUGGGCGUAAAGCGCACGCAGGCGGUUUGUUAAGUCAGAUGUGAAAUCCCCGGGCUCAACCUGGGAACUGCAUCUGAUACUGGCAAGUGUGAGUCUCGUAGAGGGGGGUAGAAUUCCAGGGGUAGCGGUGAAAUGCGUAGAGAUCUGGAGGAAUACCGGUGGCGAAGGCGGCCCCCUGGACGAAGACUGACGCUCAGGUGCGAAAGCGUGGGGAGCAAACAGGAUUAGAUACCCGCGUAGUC
rnacentral:rRNA from 1 species